AUUGUUAAAGGUAAUACUGUGGUUAAUUAAAGCGACUCAUUAAGAAGACAGUAUGCAGAAGCUGAUGUUGAUUGUCUUGAUACUGUUCAUAACUAUAGAUAUUGUCCAUCCUUGUAGUUGUUUUCCGGAUGUGAAACCAGUUUGUUCCAUUAGUGGUAUUACUUUCCAAAAUGAGUGUGCCCUAGAUUGCAAAGAAGGUGCAAUUUUAGCCUGUCGUCGUAAAUGUCCAUGCUAAUCUUGUGGAAGUUAUUACGAAUGAGUAUGAACAUCAAGUGAGAUGGAAAAACAUAUUUAAUAUAUAUGAGAGAAACAAAGAAUAAAACAAAAUUCAACAAUA